rnacentral:rRNA from 1 species
CCUACGGGAGGCAGCAGUGGGGAAUAUUGCACAAUGGGGGAAACCCUGAUGCAGCGACGCCGCGUGAGUGAAGAAGUAUUUCGGUACGUAAAGCUCUAUCAGCAGGGAAGAAAAAAAGUCCUUUGGACUUUGGACGGUACCUGACCAAGAAGCCCCGGCUAACUACGUGCCAGCAGCCGCGGUAAUACGUAGGGAGCAAGCGUUAUCCGGAUUUAUUGGGUGUAAAGGGUGCGUAGACGGGAAUGCAAGUUGGUUGUGAAAUCCCUCGGCUUAACUGAGGAACUGCAACCAAAACUACAUUUCUU